GUUGCUUCCAUGUGGUCCUCUACCGAAAAGUUCCCAUGAUGCACGGUGCUACGCCCACCACUGUUUCUGCAGCAUCUACACCCGCCACCAGCGUUCCUUUCGCUGCAACUGCAACAGCCAAUCAGAUCUCCCAGUUAUCGGUCGAUGAACUGAACAACAGCAUGUUUGUGUCACAGAUGUAGAAGCCACACAACACGUCCUGUUGGCAUCCUGGAGCAGAAACGGUGGCACUCCCCCCCCCCCCCCCCCCCCUCCCUGUGCGUCUUGUUUCCUACCCCUCUCCUGGCAGGAAGCUGAAGUGGGCUCUCUAUGCUUUCUGCCCCCUUUUCCUUCUCUCCGGCAUCGACAGUAAGCCUACGACAAACAUCCAUGUUAACCAAAAACUGAUCUGUGGGAAUGUCAAAACAAUUUUUUUUUAAAAAAGCACUAUAUAUAUAUAUACAUAUAUAUAUAAAAAAAACCGAUUAAGAAAACAGUGCUCUGUUAUAUGAGACAUAGAAGUAGAGAACUAUAAAAUAGACUUUUAUAACAUCUUACUUUAACACACUUUUUUAAAAGUGGGGUUUUAUUUUUUUUCCUGUCUACCAUCAAGACAAAAGUGCUCUUGCACAGUGGACUUAACUAGGUUAAUUGUUCUAUCGUCAAUGGAUAAAUGUUCGUCUGUUUUUUCAAAGUGUUAUCUUAAUGUUUUGUUUACAUCCUAGUCUAUAUUGACUUUAUUUGGAGAGAGACACAAAAAGAAAAAAAGUUAUACAUCGUUAUCAAGUAUAUUCCACACCAUGUUUUUUUUCUUUCCACGAUCAUGAUAUCUUAACCAUGUUCAUAGAUGACCGUUGUUAUCAAUUUCCCUUUUCCUUCCCCCUUUUCGAAACGAGAUGCUACAGAGGUUACGACGGGAAAGAGGAAGGCCUUGCUUUAAAAAAAGAAAAGAAACGGAAACGGAAAAUCUGAAGAUAUUCAGACAGGUUGUUCGUAGUUUCUGAUCAAUUUCUGAUUAGGUUGAUUUUUAAACAUUGUAAAUAAUGCCCAAACCUCCCUCCACCCCCCUGUCCAGAAACAGAGCAGAAAGUAAAAAUGGACUAGGGACUACAUGCUGAAGAAUUUUCAAGGAGGGGAAAAAAACCUUCAAUUUUCAGUUACAAUUUCCUGCAGCACGUGGCCCUCAACUUCUUAAUACUUUAGUGACCAGGUUUUAAGGAAAUCAUGUUGAAGAAGAUUGAUUCUUUUUAUUUAAAAAGGGGGCCUUUUUACCCUCCAAAUCAAAGUUAAUCUGUAAUAUAUUUACAGAACCAAAAGAAAAAGAGGGUUAGUCCAACCCCUUAUCUUAGAUCAGAUAAGUAGAGCCAAGCAGAUGCCCCAGUUCUCCAUUUGCUGCUUCUCUUGCCAAUAAUGACGUUAAUUAAUUAAAGGGCACUUAGAAAACCUACGCAUGGACAGCAUUUCCAUCUCUCAGUUGCAAAAGGCCGUCUUCCUGGAACGGCUUGAGUAUUGCACCAAUACAUCAUAACCUCCAGGUCCUUGGGAACAUCUGGAUGGGGAUGAAGGCCAAGCCCAGCUAAAGAGCCGGCAGCUGUGAUUUCACAUCACUUGUGUGUGUAUGAGAGGAACGAAUUUCCUUGCCUCCAAUCAUGUAGUGAAACCAAACAAGUCUUCACAGCUUCCCCCAGAAAUGUUCUUUUUCUUCAAAUAGGUUAACACUUUCCUGUCCGCAAAGACACCGAUUUUACAAUGUAGGGUUUAGGAUCUGGAGGUAAUUCUGGAUGCAUCAGCCCUCGGGGGCUCGCUCGUUUUAAUUCAGAGAGUUUGGCAUCCCCAUACAAAAUGGCUGGGCGGAAAACCCGGCUGGUGUUCAGUUCUGAAGCAUGAGUGUCUUUGGCUAUUUUUACUUUCGGGGUGGUGAUGUCAAUCAGAGGUAUCCAACCUUGGCAACUUUAAGACCUAUGGACUUCGUUUCCCAGAAUUCCCCAACCCUCCCAGGCUGGGGGAUUCUGGGAGUUGAGAUGCCUUUCCAAAGUUAAGUUGAGAUGCCUUUCCAAAGUUGGAAACCCCAUAAAAUUCAAAAAACAAGGAGAAGCCCAUCUUGGAGGACACCCCUGAUUGAUGGGCAGGUGGAAAUCAGCCCCCGGAGAACUAAGCUACUUCAAAGGCUGACCAAAAUAUUCAUCCAGCUCCUUGAAUUUGGGCAUCCUGGGCCCGUCUGAAUGUCCUUCAGAUCCUGGUUGCAGACUUCCCUGUUUCCCGGCUUCGUAACCGAGUUAAUGGAGAAAAACAGGAUUUGAAUACUCCUUAGGGAGCAGAUAGUUGUAUAUUUUAAAGAUGGUGGCGGUGGCGAUGAUGAUGAUGACGAUACGGGAUUUGCACAACCUGUGGCAGUGCCUCUACAGAGAACAUCCCUGAUCUCUAGUUGGGAAAAAUUAUUAGACACACGCACACACUCACGCAUUUUGUGACCACACGCCGGUGUUAGCUUUACGCUCUUCAAGCGAGGAAGGCGGAGACUCCGUUUUUUUAGCGCCAUGUAGCUGGAGAUUUGUGUAACCUUGUCACUUUGAUGUAACUCUCUGGUUUUCUCUGAAUGAUGUUGAGAAGCAAAUAAGAAUUCUUGCGUAGGUGUGCACAGAAUGUAAACAUAACACAUUUCCACAGCAUUCGGUUUCGCAGCUUUUUAAAAGUGCUCAGAAGACAGAAAUUCAGGGGUGCAAUUUCGUUGUCUUUUUCCCCUCCCACUUUUUUUGGGGGGGGGCAAAAUGUAGGAGCCCCCCCCUCCAAAAAGGAGGGGGGGGAGUAGGGAAGUUUGACUCCUGGCUGUCUUUAUCAAAAGUUUCCUGUAAGCAGUUGAAAAAGUUGCACUCCUGCAACAGACAUUGAAGCUGAUCAUACGACCACACGCUUAACACGUCUCACACACACACACACACACACACACACACUUUAUGUGGAGAUCCAGUGAUAGGUGUGUCAGGGUAAAUUUUCUAGGUGCCACAAGAAUUAUUAUUUUUUCUUCUUGUUUGUUUUUUUAAUACCAACUUUCGCAAAUUUAGUGUUUGUUUGUAAGAGAGAGGAGGGGAAAGAAAAGUUUUGAGAAAAAGAGGAAAAAAAAAUAUAAGAGCAAAGCUUGAAGCUUUGGAAAACUUCACCAAAUUUUCAACCCGAGGGUGGGAAUAGAAAUGCCAUUUGUUGAGGGUAGCACUAUUUAAAAAAAAAAAAAGAUUGUUUGUGCAAUGACUUCUUUAUUCAAGAAAGAAAGAAAAAAAGAAAAAAAAAAUAACCACAGUCGACAGACUAUAAAUUCCUUAGGAAGCUGCAUUCUCUCUACAAAGUCGCUGAGCUAUUUUGGUGACUCUAAAAUAAAAUCUCCCGAACCUGGAUUCAGGUGUGAACUUGAUUCCAGAGAUUUUCUAUAAAGAUUGUUCAAAUCUUGUGUGUGAGUUUUAACGACGUAUUAUUUUUUUUUUUACAAAAAAAAAAAAAGGCGCAGGUGAAAUCCAAGCCUGUUCCUUUUCUUUUUUUUUUCCUUUUUAAUUUAUCCAAAGUUUCUUUCUCUCAAAAAGUAUGCAUGUGGUUUAUCGAUUGGUGGACGUGUGCCCAUUUUCUCUCAGCCUUAUGCAAAUAAUAUGCAAGAAAUGCAGAAACUUGAAUAAAACGGGUCAUUGCAGAGGGAAAACGGAAAAAAAAACCGCUGAUUGGUCGUUUUUGAGGGGGGGGGGAGAUUUGUUAGCCAUUCCAUUAAAAGAAAAAUGAAAAUUGUAAAAAAAAGAAAAAAAAAAGAACGUGUGUUGCUAAAACCUUGAACAUAAUAACGUGCACAAAAACAAGAGAGGGAUUUAGAAGUCGGUGGAUCUGUAAAAUGAUGAUUCUUAUCUUAAAAAGUACAGUGUUCUGAUGGAUUAGAUUAUUUUUUUCAUAAUCAACCCCGUUCAGUUUAGUUUUGGGUUUUUGUUUUUUUAUUUUUACAAAAAUUGUUUAGCAUAAAGGGAUUAUUAUUAUUAUUAUUUGUAAAGUGGUGUAAUUUUUGCAAUACUGUGUGAAAUUCUCUCCCUAGCCCAGAGCCAGCCCCCCCACCCCAGGACGGCUUCUGCCCUUGGGGAAAAUCUUGUCCCAGCCUCUUAUAUUUUUCAGCCUGCCGUCAA